CAACAACAGUCGGUAGGCUGU
rnacentral:miRNA from 1 species